UAAUACAGAGGGUGCAAGCGUUAAUCGGAAUUACUGGGCGUAAAGCGCACGUAGGUGGUUUAAUACGUUUGAUGUGAAAGCCCCGGGCUUAACCUGGGAACGGCGUUGAAGACGGUUAGACUUGAGUCGGAGAGAGGGUUGUGGAAUUUCCGGUGUAGCGGUGAAAUGCGUAGAGAUCGGAAAGAACACCAGUGGCGAAGGCGACAACCUGGCUCCAGACUGACACUGAGGGGCGAAAGCGUGGGGAGCAAACAGGAUUAGAUACCCUGGUAGUCCACGCUGUAAACGAUGAACACUGGCUGUGCGAAGACAAUUGUUUUUGCGUAGCGAAGCUAACGCGUUAAGUGUUCCGCCUGGGGAGUACGGCCGCAAGGUUA
rnacentral:rRNA from 1 species